rnacentral:lncRNA from 1 species
GUUUUAUUUUGUUUCUUAUUACACUGUUUUUUGGUUUCUAGCAUUAGAUUCUUUACCAGAAUUUCCAUCUCUCUGCUUACAUUACCCAUCUGUUUCUUGCAUGUUGCCUACUUUUCCUAUUUGAGCCCUUAACAAUGAUUUUUGAAUUCCCUGUUGCUUGCUUGAUCUGUGUUCUUUUUUCUUUUUUCUUUUUUUUUUUUUUGAGACGGAGUCUCGCCCUGUUGCCCAGGCUGGAGUGCAGUGGCCGGAUCUCAGCUCACUGUAACCUCUGCCUCCCGGGUUCAAGAGUUUCUCCUGCGUCAGCCUCCCGAGCAGCUGGGAUUACAGGUGCCCGCCACCACGCCUGGCUAAUUUUUGUAUUUUUAGUAGAGACGGGGUUUCACCGUGUUGGCCAGACUGGUCUCAAACUCCUGACCUCGUGAUCCUCCCACCUUGGCCUCCCAAAGUGCUGGGAUUACAGGCAUGAUCCACCGUGCCCAGCCCUUGAUCUAUGUUCUUAUUUGCUUUUUAGCAUGCCUUGUAAUUUUUGUUGAAAGUUGGACAUGUAUUGGGUAAUAGGCACUGAGAUAAAUAGGCAUCUAGUAUGAGGAUUCGUGUUCAUUUGGCUAGGAGUUGGGCUUUGUUUAGCUCUGUUGGUGUGGUGGUAAGGCACGAGGGAGAGAAGUGUUCUCAAUCUUAGCGAUUAAAUCUUAAGUCUCUUAGUGGGCCUGAGUCUCUGGCCUGGGACCUUCACUUAUGCUUCUUUUUGGAAAGCUUUCCUGUCCCUCUCAGGUGAGACAGGAAGAGGAGAAAUGGCUAGAGUGAGAGGAGUACUUUUCCCCCAUGGCUCUAGGACAAGCCUAAAGCCUGGUUAAGUGUUUCCCCCGAGGAGUUUAUUUUCUUUUAUCAUUUUUAUUUCAUUAUGAAGAAAGCUCUGGACAUAUUUCAUAAGAAUUGCUCUUCCCCUCCUGCAAGAACUAUGCUGGCAUCUUUCUCUGAUCUUCACAAUGAGAAACUGGUGGGAUUCCUAGAGGUCAUGUUCACAAAACCAAGAGGCUUUCCCCAAGACUGUGUUCCCGGAAGUGAGCCUACCAGUUUAGAGAUCCAGCACUUCUGCUCCAGCAAAGAACCUGUCCCAGCUGUGGUUAGAGAGAGACAUGAUGAAGGAAAAAGUGUCAGAGAGAAUGUGGUGUUGCUGGCAUUGAAGAUGGAUAAAGGGACCACGAACCAAGAAAUGCAGGUGGCCUCUAGAAGCUGGAAAGGAGUACCUGCAUCCCUUCCUCCACAGACAGCAGCAUAA